GCGAGGGUAGCCAAGUUGGCCAAAGGCGCCGGACUUAAGAUCCGGUCCCGCAGGGGUCCAUGGGUUCGAAUCCCAUCCCUCGCA
rnacentral:tRNA from 1 species